CAGCGGUUGCAUUAAAAUUCUAUGUAUAACACUUGUAUCUUUGAUCAAAUGUUUAUUAUGAGUAUUUCUGUAAAUUGAUUUGGCUCUCUGCAAAAUCACCGGAUGUUUUGGAACUACUGAAAAUAACGAGCCAACGUAAACUGAGAUUUUUGGAUUGAAAUAUGAACUUUAAAGAACAAAACACACAUGUAUUGUGUAACAUGAAGUCCUAUGAGUGUCAUCUGAUGAAGAUCAUCAAAGGUUAGUGAUUACUUUUAUCUCUUUCUGCUUUUUGUGACUCCUCUCUUUGGCUGGAAAAAUGGCUGUAUUUUUCUGUGACUUGGCUCUGACCUAACUUAAUCGUUUGGUGUGCUUUCGUUGUAAAGCCUUUUUGAAAUCGGACACUGUAGCUGGAUUUACAACAAGUAUAUAUUUAAAAUGGUGUAAAAUACUUGUAUGUUUAAGGAAUUUUAAUUAUGGGAUUUCUGUUGUUUUGAAUUUGGUGCCCUGCAAUUUCACUGGCUGUUGGCGAGUUGCGUCCCACAUACCCUAAGUUAACAAACCUCCAAACGAGCUUCAAUGCAAUACAACACUCCUUCCGUGGCUUCCAACUGCUCUUAAACGCUAGUAAAACUAAAUGCAUGCUUUUCAACCGUUCGCUGCCCGCACCCGCCCGCCUGACUAGCAUCACUACUCUGGACGGUUCUUAGAAUUUGUGAAUAGACUUUGUAUUUGUAGUUGUCCACAUAUUCUAGGUGUCUGGCUAGACUGUAAACUCUCCUUCCAGACUCAUAUUAAACAUCUCCAAUCCAAAAUUAAAUCUAGAAUCAGCAUUUUAUUUUGCAACAAAGUCUCCUUCACUCACGCCGCCAAACAUACCCAAGUAAAACUGACAAUCCUACCGAUCCUCGACGAUGUCAUUCACAAAAUAGCCUCCAACACUCUACUCAGCAAACUGGAUGCAGUCUAUCACUGAGCCAGCCGUUUUGUCACCAAAGCCCCAUAUAUUACCCACCACUGCGACCUGUACGCUCUGGCCCUCGCUACAUUUUCGUCGCCAUAACCACUGGCUCCAGGACAUUUAUAAGUCUUUGCUAGGUAAAGCUCCGCCUGAUCUCAGCUCACUGGUUACGAUAACAACACCAACUCGUAGCACGCGCUCCACUGGUCAUCCCCAAAGCCAACACCUCCUUUGGCCGCCUUUCCUUCUAGUUCUCUGCUGCCAAUGACUGGAACGAAUUGCAAAAAAAUAAAAACAUUUUUUUUGCUGAAGCUGGAGACUUAUAUUUUCCUCACUAACUUUAAAUAUCAGCAAUCCAAUCGCUGCAGCUGUACAUAGCCCAUCUGUAAAUAGCCCACCCAAUCUGCCUACCUCACACCAGAAUUUCUAAUUGCACAUCAUCAUCUGCACAUCUAUCACUCCAGUGUUAAAUUGUAAUUACUUCGCUACUAUGGCCUAUUUAUUGCCUACCUCAUGCCAUUUGCACACACUGUAUAUAGACUUUCCAAUUUUUCUACUGUAUUAUUGAUUGUAUGUUUGUUUAUUCCAUGUGUAACUGUGUUGUUGUUUGUGUUGCACUGCUUUGCUUGAUCUUGGCCAGGUCACAGUUGUAAAUGAGAAGUUAUUCUCAACUAGCCUACCUGGUUAAAUAAAGGUGAAAUAAAAUAAAUAUAAAAAAACUUCCCACGAGCUAGGUUGUGAGAAACUCACUCAUUCUUAUGUUUAAUAAAUGUUUUGUAUAGUGUGUGUGGCAGGGUUACAAUGAUGGCAAGAAUCAACAUUUGAGAGUGUGCUGACCCUGGUGCUAGAGGGGGUACGCAGCUGGAGGUUGAAUGUUUGAAGGGGUACGGGACUAUAAAAAGUUUGGGAACCACUGAUCUAGUAGAAUUAGAUGCACACUUUCCCACAAUGCAUUGGAAGAGAUGGCUGCGAGUGAUAGGCCCUGAUUUUCUUCAAGUAACCAAACAACAAACCUAGGCUAGUCAAUUGGGAAGAUGCCCAAAGCCUCUGUCGUGUUCAAAUGGCGACCAAGUCAUUUUUGUUCUCCUUAAGAAGAUCCGGAGUAUUGCGUUGUAGGCUACAUCUUUUAUUUUUACCCUCCUUUGAAAAGCGUUUAUUGUUCUCUUGGCCUUCUGUUACUGUCAUUUAAUUAUGCCAAUGUGCUUUCAUUAAUUGAUAACCCUUAAUCUAUUUCAUGAGAAUUUGUAAGAUCCUUGUUUGCAUAAAAUAGAUGGAGACCAGUCUUUUUAAUAAUAGGUAACAGAAUUUAUUCUCAAAGCGCGCUGCCACUUCACCACAAGCAACAGUUUAUAUACAAGUCAUGACGUCAUUUCAUUGUUUUAACAGAAUCCCCUCCUCUCAACCGGGACAAAGUGAGGUGUUCAUUCUAACACACUCCCAGGACCUGAGCCCUCGGACCAUGCCUCAGGACUACCUGGCAUGAUGACUCCUUGCUGUUCCCAGUCCACCUGGCCGUGCUGCUGCUCCAGUUUCAUCUGUUCUGCCUGUGAUUAUUAUUAUUUGACCAUGCUGGUCAUUUAUGAACAUUUGAACAUAUUGGCCAUGUUAUAAUCUCCACCCAGCACAGCCAGAAGAGGACUGGCCACCCCACAUAGCCUGGUUCCUCUCUAGGCUUCUUCCUAGGUUUUGGCCUUUCUAGGGAGUUUUUCCUAGCCACCGUGCUUCUACACCUGCAUUGCUUGCUGUUUGGGGUUUUAGGCUGGGUUUCUGUACAGCACUUUGAGAUAUCAGCUGAUGUAUGAAGGGCUAUAUAAAUAAAUUUGAUUUGAGUAGAGUACUGAGUACAGUACUGUACAGUGAGUAGAGCUGAUUGGUUAAAAAACGCAUUCCAGACAGUGUCUGUUUCACAAGUUACCCCCGGCUAAAAAUAUGAUGUUAAAAUGCCUAUUUACUCUGUUCCAUCUGACUGCACAAUCCACGGUCUCAUCAGCCCAGCCAGGCAAUGUAUAAACUUGGUCUCCACUAUAAAAAGAAUCUAGACAUUAUCUCACAUUUCUUUUAGAGUAACAUUUAGUUUUCAACGGCGGACAUUUGUAUAAACCUUGCGGUUUGUCUCUCUGACAUUUGCAACAUUCAAAUUUGAUCUCCAGCUGUCCCAUAGUAAUGAAUGUGUCGUGAGUUGGGACAAGUGUUGGGGAAUAAUCAGAAUUUGUUGGUAACAUAGGUAAUAUGUUUUAUAUUCAUCAUAUGUUUGUAAGUUACUUCUCAUCAGAAUGUUGUUUUUGUAUAAUACUGUGGCGGGGUUGCAGUAUCUGUUCUAUGUCAAGACUAAGUUGCUUGGGCCGAAGAGAGGGGAGAGGUCAAGCGUGUAUCUCUUGGCUCCACAAUGUCUGUGUGCCAGUCAGUGUGUCUCUGUGAUCUUGUCAAGAUAGGAUGGAUUUGAUAUAUGCCUGUUGAUAUGGAGGAUUGGUUUAUGGUUCUGAGUUUGAGAAGAGAGCAUAGCUGAACAAUAAAUUAUGUCUAUGUUGUCUAGCUAUGUGUGUUUUUUGCUAUUAAAGGCUCUCAGUUGCAAUGUGGAAGGGACUCUCAGAGAAUUCAUUGAUAGACACUGAAUUGAUCUGAGAGUGACAGGGUUGUGAAAGAGCUCAUAUAAUUAAAGAUGGACUUCGAUAA